ensembl:lncRNA
GAAUAUUUUUCAAACUUGUAAAAUGGUUUAUAAAAAUGGAAAAUAUAACUCAUUAGAAAAUUAUAAUUAUUAUUUGUUUUUUAAGAAUAUUCACAUGUACUUUUCAAGGCUAUAUAUUGAUAUGAAAUAAAAAUACUCAUCUGAAACUGUUAUAUAAACACAAAUUAUUCAGCUGUUUGUAUUUUUCUGGCAUGAUCACUUUGAUUCUAAAUUCUUCUGUUGUGAAAUGCUGAGUUCGUUAAAUUUUAGUGUUUGAUUUUUUAUUUUUACUUUUUUAUCUGUGUAUUAAUAUAACCUUUUCUGGUUUUAAUAAGAAUAUUGAACUCUAAUGUCACUUAAAACUUGUUUUGUCAUAUUGUUGCUGAAUUUGUGUACACCCAAGGGAAAUUAUUUUUGUUUUAUAUAUUGAAUGUUUUGAGUUAAAAAUUUUUCACAAUAAAAUAUUUUAAGUGUAAUUCCCUAAAGUCUGAAAGUGUGUGUGUGUAUGUAUGUGCUUUAUAAGGGUAAUAUAACGUUAAAAAAAUCAUACCAUGUGCAGGUUAUGAUGAAAAUUUAGUUCGCUUUAAAAUUUCCUUCACUAAAGAUAGUCUUUAGUCAACUUAAACACUUACUACAAUUUUUAUCUUAUGUUUAAAAGUAUUUCUACUUAUUCUCAAAACGUAAUUUUUAAAAAAAUUUUCAUCUUUUCCCUUUUAAAGAAUGCUGGAUUUUUAAAAAUUACAAAUCUAUUUAUUUAUUGGGUCUACAGUUAUAUAAUUUUCAUCCUUUUUCAAAAGUCUCCAACAUUAUAUUUGUUUUUUUCUAUUAUUGACUAGAAUUUAAUAUUUAAAUUGUAUUUAAAGUGUAUUUAAGAUUCUAGUAGUUCCAGUUUGGCUAUGAUACAUCUUAGGGUGAAUGCUAAGUAACAAUUUUAAUGUAUUUCCUUAGUUUUCUCAUACUUUCUUAUCAUAAAGUGAUGAGUUAUUGAUUUGCUUUUGUUAUCAUAAUGCUUUUCCAUAGCACAAUAUUUGUUUAUCUUUAUGUCCUUGAACAUGCUGACAUCUCUGAGUACCUUCUCCUUAUUAUGAAGUCAUCAUCCUUUAUCAUCUUGUCACAUUCUCCUGUAUGGUGCAUUCAUAUUCAUUCACAAAUGUUUUGGAAGUCACUGUAUUAGAUAUAGGAGAUAGAAAAAUGAGUCUUCAGAUCAAGAGGAGCUGUACUUGAGGAACCACUUCUGGGGAGCCUAAUCUGCAUUUGGACCUGAUUUAGAUAUUGAGGUCUGAGACUGUCCCAAUGCCAUAAUGGAAUGAAACUUUGAAAGUCUUGGGGGAGGGUGUAGUAUAUUCAGCAUGUGGGAAUGUUGUGAAUUGUUGUGGCACACUGUGUUACAUUGUGUUAUCCAAAGAUUGUCGCAGUAAUAUUUCCCAUCUGACAUGCACUUAUCCAGUGUGACCUUGCCAUUCUCUGUCUGAGGUGGAGUAUAAUUACCCUUCCCUUGGAUCUGGGCAGGCUUGUGACAUCUUUGACCAAAGCAUAGGGUAGACGUGAAGCUGUGUGACCUUAUAAGCUGGGUUAUAAACUGAUGCAGUUUUCACCUUAUUUUCUGAAAUGCUUGCACCUGGUGCCCUGCACCAUCAUACAGGAACUCCAACCACCACAUCCAGGGCAUGAGGAAACCAAGCCACAUAGGGAGGCCAUGUAGAAGGACUCCCGUCCACAGUUCUAGACCCCAGCCGUUUGAGUUAUCCUUGCUGAGGCCAUGGGCGUUAUGCAGAGACAAGCCAACUCCACAUGUGCAUUAUGUCCAAACUCCUAAAUUGCAGGAUCCAUGAACUUAAUAAAAUACUUGUGGUUUAUACACUAAGCUGUGAGGUAGUCAGUGAAACAACGGGAUAACUUAAAAGCCACAUUAUAAGAAUCAUUAGACCUUUUGUUUUAUAGUAAAAGUGAAGAGGCUGGGUAAUGAGUAAAGUAUGAAUUUCAGUGGAAAAGUUUAUACACACAUUUUAGCUGUCUAAUGGUUUAUUUACUCAUUUAUUUGGUUUUAGGAUACUGAGUUAUGUGGCUAUAUCUGUGUUAUAGGUAGUUGAUGUGCCACUGUACUUUAGUUUGUACUGGUUAAUUUGUAAACGUUCUAUUUAAUUUUGUUCUCCUACUUGAUUAAAAACUCAAAUAUCAUUAUUCUUUCAUUUUGCCUCCGUAUUUUACACAUAAUAGAUAUGAGAUAAAUGCAUAUUGGUUGAAUAUUAAAUUUUGUCAUCUUUUCAGAAGGCAUAAAUCAUGAGUUUUAAAAAAUAAUGUGAAAAUGUUAUAGAUGACUUAGGAAAUAGGGAGUUAGAUAUCAAUAUUAAUGCCUUUAUUAAUAAGAGUUAUAGUCUGUCUUUUAAGGAACUUCAUUCCUGGUAAUCUACACAUCUAAUUUGAAUAUUUUUAUGAGGUAAAGAUUAUAGAUAAAAGAAAAUUUUUCUAGCAGUUAAGAAAAAUGUUUUUAUAAUUUUUUGGAGGGUUUUACUGACAUCUAGUGGCAUUCAGUCCCAUAUGGUUUAAAUUCCUGUAGCCUCUACUCAUCUUUUCAUGAUUAUCUUCUCUUAAUUUUUAAGACUUUUUUAAAGGAAAAAGAUAUUUCAGGUACUUAAAGUGACCAGUAGCAUUUUUUGGAGGCUGCCUGAUAUUGUACCUCAUAUAUGAUUUAACGUGAAUGAACAAAUAUGAUCAUGUCAUUCAUUCUUUAGUUUUUGCCUGCACUUUUUCUUUUCCUUCAUUUGCUUGGAUUUCCCUCCCUUUCUUUUUUUCCUAUUCAUUUGAUUCUUCCACCCCUGCCAUAAGGUAGGUCAUGACAACAGCCAAGAUUUUCUCCCUGUGCAUGCAGUUCAGUGCAUGAUUGAAUAUAAUUAUGUAGAUAUAUA